AAUACUACCGAUAGCACUAAAUACUUGGUGCUAUUAAAUUUUUCGCCAUUAGAUGAUCAUUUUCACCUGUUAAAUUAUAUUAUUCAACCAACCACCCACUCAAUUCUAAGAAACUACUAUCAUCUUAAUCGCAUAGCCCUCCAUCUAAGGACCGAAAACCUGAUAGCACCAAUAACUUGGUGCUAUUAAUAAUAUUCUAGCAUAAUUCAUGAUAUAUAUAUAAUAUAAAAU
rnacentral:lncRNA from 1 species